AGCGAACGCUGGCGGCAGGCUUAACACAUGCCAGUCGAGCGGGCACUUUCGGGUGUCAGCGGCGGACGGGUGAGUAACGCGUGGGAACGUGCCCUCUGGUUCGGAAUAACUCAGGGAAACUUGAGCUAAUACCGGAUACGCCCUUUUGGGGAAAGGCUUGCUGCCGGAGGAUCGGCCCGCGUCUGAUUAGCUAGUUGGUGAGGUAACGGCUCACCAAGGCGACGAUCAGUAGCUGGUCUGAGAGGAUGAUCAGCCAAACUGGGACUGAGACACGGCCCAGACUCCUACGGGAGGCAGCAGUGGGGAAUAUUGGACAAUGGGCGCAAGCCUGAUCCAGCCAUGCCGCGUGAGUGAUGAAGGCCUUAGGGUUGUAAAGCUCUUUUAUCCGGGACGAUAAUGACGGUACCGGAGGAAUAAGCCCCGGCUAACUUCGUG
rnacentral:rRNA from 1 species